rnacentral:tRNA from 1 species
GGAAGUGGUUGGUACAAGCAACCCUCUUUAAAAUGCACUGAAAAAAGGUAUUUAAUACCCUGGCAGUCAAGAGGUCGUGGGUUCGAAUCCCAUCUUCUCCA